AGCGAACGCUGGCGGCAGGCCUAACACAUGCAAGUCGAACGAAGUCUUCGGACUUAGUGGCGGACGGGUGAGUAACACGUGGGUACGUGCCUUUAGGUUCGGAAUAACUCAGGGAAACUUGUGCUAAUACCGAAUGUGCCCUUCGGGGGAAAGAUUUAUCGGCUUUAGAGCGGCCCGCGUCUGAUUAGCUAGUUGGGGAGGUAAAGGCUCACCAAGGCGACGAUCAGUAGCUGGUCUGAGAGGAUGAUCAGCCACAUUGGGACUGAGACACGGCCCGAACGCCUACGGGAGGAAGCAGUGGGGAAUCUUGCGCAAUGGGCGAAAGCCUGACGCAGCCAUGCCGCGUGAAUGAUGAAGGUCUUAGGAUUGUAAAAUUCUUUCACCGGGGACGAUAAUGACGUUACCCGGAGAAGAAGCCCCGGCUAACUUCGUGCCAGCCGCCGCCGUAACAC
rnacentral:rRNA from 1 species